rnacentral:rRNA from 1 species
CCUACGGGAGGCAGCAGUAGGGAAUUUUCGUCAAUGGGCGCAAGCCUGAACGAGCAAUGCCGCGUGAACGAGGAAGGUCUUCGGAUCGUAAAGUUCUGUUGAAGGGGAAGAGGAGCGGAGAGAGGAAAUGAACUCCGAUUGAUAUUACCCUUCGAGGACGUCACGGCUAACUACGUGCCAGCAGCCGCGGUAAUACGUAGGUGGCGAGCGUUAUCCGGAUUGAUUGGGCGGAAAGGGUGCGUAGGCGGCCUGCUAAGUCUGGAGUGAAAGGUACCGGCUCAACCGGUAUAGGCUCUGGAAACUGGCGGGCUAGAGAGCAGGAGAGGGCGGUGGAACUCCAUGUGUAGCGGUAAAAUGCGUAGAUAUAUGGAAGAACACCAGUGGCGAAGGCGGCCGCCUGGCCUGUUACUGACGCUGAUGCACGAAAGCGUGGGGAGCAAAUAGGAUUAGAUACCCCAGUAGUC